ACGCUGGCGGGUGCUUAUACAUGCAGUCGAACGAGGUUUAGUCAGUGAGGCAACACUGACGACUACCUAGUGGCGAACGGGUGAGUAACACGUGAGAAACCUGCCCCGAAGACCGGGAUAACCCUCCGGAAGGAGAGCUAAUACCGGAUACCCCCACCGAACCGCAUGGCUCGGUGAGGAAAUGGAUUCCGCUUCGGGAGGGUCUCGCGGCCUAUCAGCUUGUUGGUGGGGUAACGGCCCACCAAGGCAUCGACGGGUAGCUGGUCUGAGAGGACGAUCAGCCACACUGGGACUGAACACGGCCCAGACUCCUACGGGAGGCAGCAGUAGGGAAUCUUGCGCAAUGGGCGAAAGCCUGACGCAGCAACGCCGCGUGGGGGAUGAAGGCUCUCGGGUUGUAAACCCCUUUCAGCAGGGACGAAUCAAGACGGUACCUGCAGAAGAAGCCCCGGGUAACUACGUGCCAGAAGGCGGGUAACACGUAGGGGGCAAGCGUAGUCCGGAUUUAUUGGGCGUAAAAGAGCUCGUAGGUGGCUGAGUAAGUCGGGAUGUAAAUUC
rnacentral:rRNA from 1 species